CGCCCCUCUCCCUGAUCCAGAUCCGUCCUCCUCCGAUGCCCUCCCCUCCGCUCCAUCCUCCCCUUGGACAAGAUCCGGCGCGCACGUCCCACACAUCGACUGCGCCCUCCCACCCACAGAUCGCUGCCGCCACCCACCGUCCCAUCUGACCUCGUGCCCUCGGCGGCGUCCAAGAUCUGGUCGACGGUGAUCCAGGCCGACCCGCGCACCACCAUCCUGCUCGAGGAGUUCAGCUUCUCCAACCAGGGCAUGCUGGAGCUCAACAUCACCGGCAUCGCCAUCAACCCCCUCGCCUCAUUCGGACCUCGACCUCUCCCAGUUCGGCGCGCGCGUCCUCCAGCGCCUCCUGCGACCGUUUCCUGUCACUAGGAUUUCACCCGGCGUGGUCCAGCGACUCAGAUCCAGGAUGCCGUCCUCGAUCAAGCACCGGGACACCAUGGGCGCAACACAGGGGACGACAAGAGCUCCACCGCUGGUGGCUCUCCGCCCCCAAACGACAUGGCGGCCUCGCUACUCCUCCGUGCUGCGCGACGCCGAGACCUCGCCUCGCCGCUCGCCAUCACCAUCGAUGUCGUCAAGCCCUCGCGCGGCUGAUGGGCAUAGGCUGGUCCAUGCACGCUGGUGAUGGCGGCUCACCAAGGUUGUCAUCAUCGCUUGCACGCACGAGGCACCCGACGACCUCCUCCAUCGC